CGCCAGACUCCUACGGGAGGCAGCAGUGGGGGAUAUUGCACAAUGGGGGGAACCCUGAUGCAGCGACGCCGCGUGGGUGAAGGAGUGCUUCGGCAUGUAAAGCCCUAUCGGCAGGGAAGAAGCAAGACGGUACCUGACUAAGAAGCCCCGGCUAACUACGUGCCAGCAGCCGCGGUAAUACGUAGGGGGCAAGCGUUAUCCGGAUUUACUGGGUGUAAAGGGAGCGUAGACGGCAGGGCAAGUCUGGAGUGAAAGCCCGGGGCCCAACCCCGGGACUGCUUUGGAAACUGCCAUGCUAGAGUGCUGGAGAGGUAAGCGGAAUUCCUAGUGUAGCGGUGAAAUGCGUAGAUAUUAGGAGGAACACCAGUGGCGAAGGCGGCUUACUGGACAGUAACUGACGUUGAGGCUCGAAAGCGUGGGGAGCAAACAGGAUUAGAUACCCCAGUA
rnacentral:rRNA from 1 species